rnacentral:tRNA from 1 species
GGGCGCUUGGUCUAGGGGUAUGAUUUUCGCUUCGCACUUCCACAUGGAACGCGCUCUUGUGAAAGGUCGUGGGUUCAAUUCCCACAGUGUCCA